UGUGCUCUUCCUAUCUGGCAGGUACAGGGCCUCCCCUUCACGUCCACGAGGGUACAGACGCCCCCUCUGUGCAAGCACAACUCAGGUAGAAAACGAGGACGUCAUCUUCUUUCACUUUUAGGGUCCAGAAAUUCAGAGCUGAGCUGGCGGUCUAGCUCAGUGGGCAGCCGGGGCUCGGAGGAUUCCCUCCCAGCUGUGGCCCUAGCUCUUUCCAUUGUCUUGCAUGUCUGCUCCUCAGUACCCAGGGCUGCCUGCCAGGGCAGCUCAGCAUGGCCCCAGCAUACUUCUGUAGGGAGCCUGGAGUAUUUUUCUGUUUCUUAAGGGAAUAUCCAUCUUUUGAGACUAAAGUCACACAGCAGGAAUGAAGGUUGUGUCCGCUUCCCCUGUAGGCACCUAGCCGCCUCUACCUUCUCCCUCCACCCCUGUAGCAGGAAUAGGGUGUUCUCUGUGUUCUGGAUAGUUUCCAGUGUUCUCCCCUUUUUCAAAGCACUUUGCUUGUAUUUUUUUUUUUUUUUUAAUAGUCCUUUAUAGAGCUCAGUCAGGAAGGGGAGUGCGGCACAAAGCCAAGCCCCCAGCAUUGGGAGAGGCCAAGCCACAGCUGCUGCUACCCUAGGCCUAAGGCUGUAAGCAAGAGACAGCUCUGGCCCUCAGCCAGUGUCCUACCCUGCCCAGCUCCAAGGACGAGCUCUGGGUAUGGAGCCCUGGGCCCCAGGCCCUUGCCUCUGGGGCUCAUGGAUGGAGGGUCAGUGUCUGUGACUAAAUAAAGUUCCGUUUUGUGGC